GGAGGAUCCGAGCGUUAUCCGGAUUUAUUGGGUUUAAAGGGAGCGUAGGCGGACUAUUAAGUCAGCUGUGAAAGUUUGGGGCUCAACCUUAAAAUUGCAGUUGAUACUGGCGUCCUUGAGUGCGGUUGAGGUGUGCGGAAUUCGUGGUGUAGCGGUGAGAUGCUUAGAUAUCACGAAGAACUCCGAUUGCGAAGGCAGCACACUAAGCCGUAACUGACGUUCAUGCUCGAAAGUGUGGGUAUCAAACAGGAUUAGAUACCCUGGUAGUCCACACGGUAAACGAUGGAUACUCGCUGUUGGCGAUAUACGGUCAGCGGCUUAGCGAAAGCGUUAAGUAUCCCACCUGGGGAGU
rnacentral:rRNA from 1 species